CAUUAUGCAUAUCGUGUCUUCAUACAUUAAUGUAAUAAAGCGAUAGUUUAUAGCAUUCUCAUUAGUGCUGUCCAUUUUUCUCUCCCUUGCAUUUAAUAAGGAACUGGAGCAAAGAAAGAAAGAACACAGGCAGGAAUGCAUCCGCUGUACUGGUACAGUAUCUAGUUCCUCCCCCUGCAAAGCAGGAGAUCAGGGGAGAGCAGUGAUUGAGGACAAUGACUCAGCUCAAAUCCCUCAUAAAUGACUAUCUCUGCGUGUCUCUCUCUCUUCCUGCAAGCCCCAACGAGGUACGACUCGGAGUGCGGAAGACGUGCGGAACUAUCGAGGGAUUAGUGCUUCUGUACGAGAGGACGGGCAUGAUACGAAUCUCUAACUACCUAAAUUAUGAAUGCGGACAUCCAUUAAGCUGCCCACCCACCCCCCUUAUCGUGUAUGAACUAAGUAGGAAGCGACGUGUCUGUCUCCUUUACAUUUAAGUGAUGCGCUUUGUCUUGGUUCGGUGCAUCCGUUCCCUGUGUGUGUUCUUAUCACACAGGAUGGGGCUCUGUUUUGUGAGGCAUUGUGGGGAUGAAACUGUAUCCUCACAGUCAAGUGUGAGCACGCACUCCCUCGGUUUCCUCGCUCCCUUAGUGGCGAGGACCUCGCGGGAGAAGGUCAAAAGUCAGGCUCUUGUUAUCUCCUCGGACGUUUGCCGGAAACUCUCUCCAUAUGCCCCACCUAAAGAUCAGCCCACGGUUUCCUCUCUGAAAUCGUUAAAAGGACGAGCGGCCAUUUUCAUAGCUGGGCGAGUACGAUGAAAGGUUCCCCUGGCAGUGAUUACAAAGGGAAAUGUAUUCUCCUAAUGUCCUUGAGAGACAUUGCCAGACAGUCGUUCAGCUUGCUGGAUAUCUGUAAUAUAGUGCUCCCCGUAAUCACUGCAAACAGUUCACAAUAUGGAAUGGGUCGUGUGGCAGACCCAUGAAUUUAAACUCACUUGGUGUAAAAGGCCACAAACUUCAGCUCGUCCAGAUCCCCUUGGAUAAUCACGUCAUCGAAUCCCUCUCCAUGACCUGGCAAAGGGAGAUCAAACCACUUUUGAUAAGCUAGAUGGCAGUAGCUGAAUUCAUUCCUUUUUUCUACAUUGACUGGCUAGAAGAUUUGAACAAACAAACCUUGCUUCCCACCAAAGAAUUCAUAUGGCAAAUGUACAGUUUAUCUUUACUGUUAGAGAUGAACCAAAAACAUUUUUAAAAUCCAUCCAUUUAAUAAAGAAUUCAGAUUUACUCAAUCCAUGUCCCUGUGCCUGAUCUCAAAUAAAAUGAGAAGACAGAACAGAAGACUGGGAGGGUUGCCACUAGAUGGCCACCAUAGAAAAGACUAAACACCAUGGGCAUAGGGCUCUUAUUGGCUAAGAUGUUCCCUUGAGUGGUUGACAUAGUAACACGUUGUUAACAGGGUGGGAAUUGCGUCCUUUCUUGGGUGUAAAUCUAGAGACAAUCCUUCAGCUUACCUGCGUAUCGUAUGCUUUUCCCAAACAUGGCCGUCCAGAAGUAAGGCACCGUCUUGAUCUCGGUGGUUGUGCCCAUCAUGUUGAGGGCAGCCACUCUUCCUGUGGACAACAACAACAGGGAGACCCUGACACUCUGGCCCCCUGGGAGUUGGAGUUUUUUUGUGGCCCACUAGGAGUUGGAGUUUGUUUGAAGCCCCCUGGGAGUUGUAGUUCGUUUGUGAUGUCACAAAGGAGGCGGGUGCUUACCGUGCACGUGGGCCAUCUGCCAGUGCGAGAUGUUCACCUUCUUAUUGCUGCGGCCAGAGAGGGGAAAGGCGACCGCGUCUCCUCCGGCGAAGACUCCCUCUGCGUUCGUCUGCAUCGUCUGAGGGUCACACAGAUCCCAUUUGUGGGGGGGGACAGUGUAGUGUAAUGGGUAAGGAACUGGUCUUGUAAGCUGAAGGUCACAGGUUUGACUCCCGGGAUAAGACACGACCCUUGAGCAAGGUACUUAACCUGCAUUGCUUCAGUAUCUUAUAUAUCUUAUAUAUACUCUAGGCAUCAGAUGCUCUUAUCUUAUCCAUAAGAUAAGAGCAUCUGAUGCCUAAAUGCCUGUAAUCUAAUAUAAUGUAAUCAGGCUAACGCAGUGGGAGAGGUCAGUGCACUGGCUAGCAACAGGCUAUAACAUACUGAACCGAGGUGACACCUCUGCCCUCAUUGCACUCAUUUAAGUGAAAUAAUCCCGUUAAUAAUUAAGCACUUCAAUAACUGAUUAGCCAAGAUCUGUUGUGAAGCGUAUCGUCACAAAAACGAAACGUUUUUGCGAAAUGUGCAGUACAAAUCAGUUUGAUUCUGAUUUUAGAUUUUUAUUUAACCGUGACUGUUGAUGCUAUAUGGGGUAUAUGUUGCAGAACAUGCAUAACAGUGGAUACCUUGCUGACUGGGAUGAAACCCUUGGAGUCCACGUGUAUCCCGCUCUGCCUUAAAAAGGACGUGGCGGGGCCAGAGCCUGCAGAGACUUCCGGAAGGGGAUGGCGUCGAUCCCGAUGACGGAGACGGAGUGGGCUUUGUCCGUGAGCGCGGCGGCCACCUCCAUACCUGUGGGAUAGAUGCCAAUGCACAGAACAGCUUUCCUGGUCAUGCAGCAGAGGCAGAGACCCUUGGGGUAUCCAACACAGCACUCGUUUGUAUGUAAAUGGUGGGCCUAGAUUUGGGUAGAUGCCCCAUUCUCAUCAUUGUGCAUUCUUACGGUCUUACAUUCUCUCAGCCCGGAGACUGCGGACUGAAAAGAACGGAACGUACGAACGGUUGCCGUGACACUCACCGAUGAACGAAGUUCCCACGAUCACCGCGUUCUUGUUGUUGGCGAGUCUGGCGAUGCUGUUGGCGUCCUCGGGCGUUCUGAGGUAAAACACGUUUUCCACAUCCUUGCCUUUGUAGCUCAAAGGCUUGGGUCUUGACAGAAGAAAAGGGUUAGUGUUAUUUAAGCAUGAAAUUUCUCAGUAUUUCCCCUCAUCACCCUCAGUUGAGCUGUCAAGUGUUGUUUUUUGUGAGUACCUGAAAUGUGCAUAGUUUCCCAGAAUAAAGAUAUGCAGAUUUGGUAACAGAGGAGAUUAAAAUAACUGUCACAUCCUCCUUACGUGCUUCCCGUUGCAAUGAGAAGCUUCCUGUACUCCAUCUUCAGUCCGUCUUGGAACAUGACGGUUUUCGUCCUCACGUCCACCGAGACAACCUGUGAACAGAACGCCAAAAAAGAGGACCGUUUAACCAUUUGAAGAGUAGGUUCUUGGAAUGUUUUUUUUUUUCCCCAAAAUUCCAAGUCGGUGUU